AUACUCUACCAGAUCAUGCCACAGGUCAGAGAAGGUACCAGGCAGCAGCGGUGGUGGGACACAUCUCAUGGCAGUAUUGGGGGCGGCACCUCAAAGAAAACACAUGAUAGACUGCAAACAUUGAAACUUCAAAAACUCGAGAAAGAGCUUAAGGAGCACUUUGAGAAAUACAGUUACCUGCUUGUGCUGGAUGAUGUUUGGUCUACUGAUAUGUUGGAGCUGAUAAAUAAGUCACUGCCUAAAAGUGAGAAAGGUAGCAGAGUGAUUGUUACGUCAAGGUUCCAGGCUGUUGCCAGUGCUUGUGUAAGAAAUAAAGGAGAUUAUCUUUACAAGGCUGUAAUCCUCAGCGGGGACAAAUCUGAAGAAUUAUUUAUGGACAUCAUGGCUGAAGCUAAAGGUUGCCAGGAACAGCAAGAUAAGAGCAAAAUUAUACCUGCACACUGGGAAAUGUGCAUGAGGCUGCCAUUGGCGGUAGUUAUCAUGGCUGGAUAUGUUGCCUGCAACCCACAUAUUUCUGACUGGAAACAAGUUUUUAAGAAUCUGGUGCCAGACUAUCUGAAACCUCUUUCCCAUGAUGGAUUAAUGAGCAUUAUUGAUAAUUGCUAUUCUGAUAUGCCACCUGAGAUCAAAAGAUGCUCUCUAUAUCUCAGUAUAUUUCCGAGCGGUUCACAAAAUAGCAGGAAACGCCUCUUAAGAAAAUGGAUCUCAGAAGCUCUUGUCAGUGAGAAACAAGGAUUGAGCGCAGAAGAGGUCGCGGAAACAUGCUUCAAUCAUUUGAUAAAGAGACAGAUAAUUCGAGCUGUGAAGCACAGUAGCAAUGGAAAGGUGAAGACCUAUGAAGUUCAUAACAUGAUACAUGAGUAUCUUGUGUGCAAGGCGGGUGAGGAAAAUUUUGUCACCGUGGUUGGUGGCCAGUGGUUGAUGGCGCCGCCCAGUAAUAUGGUUUGCCGGUUGUCACUUCAGAGCGAUGGUUUGAAGACUGAGAGUGCAAAACAUAACAUGAACCUAUCUCAUGUGCGAUCGUUGAGCGUAUUUGGUACUUUGAAUGGAUUGCUUUCCAAGCCACAAAAGUUGAGAAUUGUGCAACAUUUGGAUCUUGAAGGCUGUACAGAUUUCAAACAAGAACACACAAAAGUUGUUUGCAAACUUUUUCUUCUCAAGCACCUCAGCCUCCGUAGAACAGACACCACAAAGCUUCCUAAAGAGAUAGGGAAGCUUCAGUAUUUAGAGACCCUUGACAUCAGGGAAACUGGUAUUACAAAGUUACCCAAAACUAUUUGCCAGCUGCAAAAGGUGAAGAAUAUACUUGGUGGGAACAAAAAGACACGGAAGGCAUUGAAGCUUCCUGAGGAUAUGAAGAAGAAGCCAAUAAAAUCCCUCUGUGUACUGUCAGGCAUCGAAAUUGUCGAAGGACCAUCUUCAGUAGCAGAUUUCCAGCUGACCAAGCUGAGGAAGCUUGUAAUCUACAAGUUGAACAUCAAGAAUGAGGGUAAACUUUUCGAUGAAUUGAGGUUCUCUAUUGAAGAUCUUUGUGGCUACUCGCUCCAAACUCUUGUAAUUGAUGAUGGGUCUGCUGGUUUUCUCAGCUCAUGGGGUUGUCUCUCCUCCCCGCCCAAGUUUCUGAAUGCCCUUGAGCUGUCUUGCAAACUGCAGGCGAAAGUGGUUAAUCUCCCAAAAUGGAUCAUUGAACUGGACGCACUGACAAAGCUGACCCACUCAGUCGCGAUGCUUAGCUCAGAUGCUUUGGUGCAACUUAGCCAGCUUGAUGAUGCAGAACAGGGUCUAGAAUCUGAAGCCACUUGCAGGCAGAUCCAGCUUCACUUGGAACAUCCUAACAGUACCAUGAUGAUCAUAGUUCACCCUGGUGGAUUCGAGAGUCUGAAGCUUCUUCGUUUUUCUGCUCCUUACAUGCCAAAAUUGGUGUUUCUGGAGAAGGCUACAGCGAACCUCGAAAGGCUUGAUCUACGGUUCUUUGCUUUUGAGGGAGUUGACGGUAUAGAACACCUUAAGGUUCUGAAAGAGUUGCACUUAAGUUUACACAACAAUGGAAGUCAGGGUACCAAAAAGAUAAUACAACAGAUUUCAAAUGAAGCACGGCAAUGUGAGAAUGGACCAAAGUUGAUUGUCGAUCAGUACCAUUAG
rnacentral:rRNA from 1 species